rnacentral:lncRNA from 1 species
CUCAAUCUUUCUUACCUACACCUCAGAAAGGAAGCACUUACAAGGGUGAAUAAAAAAAGGCCAGUGCAGUCUCUAGCAAAUACAGCUCUUUAAUGAAAUCUCCAGAGGAAGAAGAGAGCAUUUGAUGUCACCAAGCCAAAAACUCCACCUUUGGAUCAUGCUGAUGCUGGCAUUUUUUGCACAAGAGACCCAUGAAGGGAAUAAUUUUCAUGACAAUUAGAAGAUAGACAGAGACUGAACAUCACUGGAGGCAAAUAAAUUGCUUAGAAGACUUUGAAAAAAAAGUCCAAAUGAGAGAUGAAGAGCACCCAAACCAAGAAACUGGCAGUGCUCAUGGAGAGCAAGAGGAUGUGAUACAGAGAUCCACAUUAGGUGUCUCCUCAUCAGAGAUUACUAAUCUUAUAGUCCUUAAUCAUCUCUCAAACUUCAGCUUAAAUCUCAGUUUCCAAAGAAGGUGCAUGAUACCACUGUGAACACAAAACCAUGACUUCAAUUGAGAACAGGAGAAAAAUCCCCCUUCCAUUCCAAGACUUCAUGUGUGAAUAAGACAAAGACUUUGUACUCUUUGCUGAUUUUUUGACAAUAGUUAUACACAACUGUGACUCUUGCCACUAAAAGAUGCCAGUGUCCUCUGAAUAUCAAAUUAAAAAU